GACGGACGCUGGCGGCGUGCUUAACACAUGCAAGUCGAACGGAAAGGCCCUGCUUUUGUGGGGUGCUCGAGUGGCGAACGGGUGAGUAACACGUGAGUAACCUGCCCUUGACUUUGGGAUAACUUCAGGAAACUGGGGCUAAUACCGGAUAGGAGCUCCUGCUGCAUGGUGGGGGUUGGAAAGUUUCGGCGGUUGGGGAUGGACUCGCGGCUUAUCAGCUUGUUGGUGGGGUAGUGGCUUACCAAGGCUUUGACGGGUAGCCGGCCUGAGAGGGUGACCGGCCACAUUGGGACUGAGAUACGGCCCAGACUCCUACGGGAGGCAGCAGUGGGGAAUAUUGCACAAUGGGCGGAAGCCUGAUGCAGCAACGCCGCGUGCGGGAUGACGGCCUUCGGGUUGUAAACCGCUUUCGCCUGUGACGAAGCGUGAGUGACGGUAAGGGGUAAAGAAGCACCGGCUAACUACG
rnacentral:rRNA from 1 species